AGAGUUUGAUCAUGGCUCAGAUUGAACGCUGGCGGCAGGCCUAACACAUGCAAGUCGAGCGGCAGCACAAGGGAGUUUACUUCUGAGGUGACGAGCGACGGACGGGUGAGUAAUGUCUGGGAAACUGCCUGAUGGAGGGGGAUAACUACUGGAAACGGUAGCUAAUACCGCAUAACGUCUUCGGACCAAAGAGGGGGACCUUCGGGCCUCUUGCCAUCAGAUGUGCCCAGAUGGGAUUAGCUAGUAGGUGAGGUAAUGGCUCACCUAGGCGACGAUCCCUAGCUGGUCUGAGAGGAUGAUCAGCCACACUGGAACUGAGACACGGUCCAGACUCCUACGGGGCGCAGCAG
rnacentral:rRNA from 1 species